CGUAUCCUGGGGUGUGCGCCACGUUUCGGCUUUUACCCACAUCUUCACAAAAGGACGCCGGGUCGGUGACGCCGAUGUCAGGCCCCCAUUGUCAGGGGAAGACAGCAAGCGGCCGCAGGCUUCCGCCCUGCCUGAGCGGCGGGUGAAAAAGCUGGAACGAACGGCACUCACGGGAUAUCU
rnacentral:other from 1 species